ACCCACAAUUUACACCUAAGGGUAAACCGACCCGAACCAUAUGUCAAUGCUUAGCGUUGCUCCAGCAUAAAAUUCUCUUUCGUAGCAAAAAGAGGUUUAAAUGCUUCCCAGUGCAUACCUCCACCAUUCAUUGUAGGAGAAUGAGCCUGAACAAAUACAGCAGAUCCAUUUUUGACAGUCGUAGGAGAUUCAGGUAGAGCCUGAAAAGCCAAAUGAAAAGGUUGUUAGGAUUACAUACGCCAUGAGAUUUAAAAUGUAAUGACUGCAAUAAGUUGUAGCCAAGGAAAGUGAGCGUGGGCAGCUCUUAAUUACCUGGUAGCUUAUUACUGGACACGUGCAGUCUUCUUCAACUUCCUCUGGUGCACUCCCUGUGUUCCCCAUAGUUCCUAUGAAAUGGAGAAGAAGGAAAAGCACAAUUCUUGUUCUCAUUUAUAUCAGUUUACCAAGCAAUUCAAAUUGAGAGACAACCAAUGUCAAUAGACUUCAACAGGCUGUUUAAAUUCCUGAUAAGCCCCACCUGUUUUCUCAAAAGCACCUGCCCUAGUCAUCAGUGUUCCAGCCUGGUCACUCCUAGUGGCUCACAGCUACUUACUGGAAAUGCCAUGGAUUACAUUCUUCUUUCUUGAGGAAAACUGGAGGAGUCACACUUACACUGCUUAUCUGGACUCUUCAGAUAGGAAACAAUUGGGUUUAAUAGCAAAAUAAGGUGGAAAAGACUGAAUCAUAUGAAGGAAUUACAGCAGCUUUGUGGAGGUCUACAUUUGUGUUGUUGCUGUUUAAAUAACGGGAGAGAAAAAAAAAAAAAAAAAAAAAAGGAAAGCCCUCGAAUGAAACAGAACAGAACAAAGAAAAAAAGAAGAAGAAGAACAAAAAGGCACACAACAAAAGUCAAUAAUUCACCAACUGAAAACAAAACCUUGGAAGCUAUUGGAAUAGUUCUCCUUAACUUUUUCCUCCAGGCCUUAAGCAGCUUCAUCCACACCUAGAAGCAGCUUCACUCCAGCUCUUUCCUAAUGAAACAAUUACCUGCUGAAAAUAAGUUGCCUGUUCUCAUUAAUCACAGACGUGAUCACUCAGCUCAGAGUGUGACACUCACACUCAGUGCACACUGCCGUGCAAACUGACCCAAAUCCCUUUGUAUUCCUCUAUUUACAGACUGGCAGAGCCCACAUGUGGCAGCACGAGACCUGAAUCCCCGAGGGGAAGCAGACAGGCAGAAUGUCAUCCUCUAUUACCGCUGCUGUGACAGCAGAUACGUAACUCUUACCCUUGUGCACAUUAACAGAACGAAUGCUUGCAGUCAAUGGGAGCCUGUUUUUUGGCAAAGCCUUUACCUAGUGCUGCUACUGCAAAUUCUGCAAGUGGAACUGGGAGCAUUGCUGGUCACAGCCACUGGUGUAGGCAGCUGGACUGAGCACUGCUGUUUUACUAC
rnacentral:lncRNA from 1 species